rnacentral:rRNA from 1 species
AGAGUUUGAUCCUGGCUCAGGACGAACGCUGGCGGCGUGCCUAACACAUGCAAGUCGAACGGACCAUUUCGGUGGUCAGUGGCGAACGGGUGAGUAACACGUAAGUAAUCUGCCUUGAAGACGGAGAUAACCUUGGGAAACUGAGGCUAAUACCCGAUAUGCUCACAGAAGGACAUCCUUCAGUGAGGAAAUGGUUUUUCGCUUUGAGAGGAGCUUGCGUCUGAUUAGCUUGUUGGUAGGGUAAAGGCCUACCAAGGCGAUGAUCAGUAGCUGAUUUGAGAGAAUGACCAGCCACACUGGGACUGAGAUACGGCCCAGACUCCUACGGGAGGCAGCAGUGGGGAGUUUUGCGCAAUGGGCGAAAGCCUGACGCAGCAACGCCGCGUGAACGAAGAAGUCUUUCGGGAUGUAAAGUUCUGUCGAGGGGGAAGAUAAUGACGGUACCCCUAAAGGAAGCUCCGGCUAAUUAUGUGCCAGCAGCCGCGGUAAUACAUAAGGAGCAAGCGUUGUCCGGAUUUAUUGGGCGUAAAGAGCACGUAGGCGGUGGUUUAAGUCAGAUGUUAAAUGCUUCGACUCAAUCGAAGUUCGCAUUUGAAACUGAACUGCUUGAGUAUAAGAAAGGGAAGCGGAACUCACAGUGUAGCGGUGAAAUGCGUAGAUAUUGUGAGGAACACCAGUUGCGAAGGCGACUUCCUAGCUUAUUUCUGACGCUGAGGUGCGAAAGCGUAGGGAGCGAACAGGAUUAGAUACCCUGGUAGUCCACGCUGUAAACGAUGUGCACUGGGUGUUGGUGCUUGAAGAAAGCAUAAGUGCCGUAGUUAACGCGAUAAGUGCACCGCCUGGGGAGUAUGCUCGCAAGGGUGAAACUCAAAGGAAUUGACGGGGGCCCGCACAAGCGGUGGAGCAUGUGGUUUAAUUCGAUGAUACGCGAGGAACCUUACCAGGGCUUGACAUGUACUUGACGGUCUGUGAGAGCAGGCUUUCUCUGAUGAGACGGGUACACAGGUGCUGCAUGGUUGUCGUCAGCUCGUGUCGUGAGAUGUUGGGUUAAGUCCCGCAACGAGCGCAACCCUUACUGUCUGUUGCCAGCAUAUAAAGAUGGGCACUCGGACGGAACUGCCGGUGACAAACCGGAGGAAGGUGGGGAUGACGUCAAAUCAUCAUGGCCCUUAUGUCCUGGGCUACACACGUGCUACAAUGGCAGGUACAGAGCGUUAGCGAAGCGGCGACGUGGAGCCAAUCGCAAAAAGCCUGCCUUAAGUUCGGAUUGGAGUCUGAAACUCGACUCCAUGAAGGUGGAAUCGCUAGUAAUCGCGCAUCAGCAUGGCGCGGUGAAUACGUUCCCGGGCCUUGUACACACCGCCCGUCACACCACCCGAGUUGGGGAUACCCGAAGUCGCUAGUCUAACCUGUUAAGGGGGGACGGUGCCGAAGAUAUGCCUGGUAAGGGGGGUGAAGUCGUAACAAGGUAACC